ensembl:lncRNA
UUUUUUUUCAACUUAAGUAUUUGUUUUCCCUAAAUGUAAAAUGUAAAACAUGAUUUUGUCUUGAAACUUCCUUUUUUUUCCCUUUCUGUACUGUUGUUUUCUUUUCUACUUUAAGAAAACAACAGUUUAGCUGCAGCAGAAAACUGUCAUGAAACAGGGACAUCAUGAUGUCAGCACAGUGCUAAAGGAGUAGUAAAGCUAUUUUUGCAUUUCCAGUGAAAUUAAACAACCAGUUUGGAGGGACAAAUGCAAUUUCAAAUUGAUAGAAUCCACAAAGUAAACUGCCAUCACUGAAGGAUAAAUGAGAUUUCUUUGAAACAGCAUCUUACAGCUCAAAUGCAUUUUUUAUUGUGUAGGUGACCUAUUCAAAUCCAAGACUACAUGUUUUUUGGCUGUACCAUCCCAUGAAAAGAAAAUAUGUUUGAAGUCUUGUCCAUCCUUCAUCCUGAGACAUUUGGUAAAGUUAAAAUCUUUCUCCAAUCAUUGAUGAAACCACUAAAAACUCAUCUCUUUGUAUCAAAGUUACAUAUAUGAAAACUUUUUCCAUGAAAACGCAUAAUUUGCUUUGUUUUAAAUGGUUUAGAUGUAACUCUACUCUUUCCUACAAUGUAUGGUUCUAUGAAGUCUCUGUCUUUCUACAUUUUUUUCAGCCUUUAUUUAACCAGAUUAAAAAAAAAAAAAACCAUUUAAAAUCACCUGCAGGAGCACACUGGAUGAUGCUAGUGUGGCAACACCAUCCAGUUUGCUAGCAGAGGUCCAGGCUGUAGCAGGUGGAAGGCCAGGCUGAAGCUAGCAGGCUGUGGAAGCCCAGGUUGAAGCUAGCAGAGGUCCAGGCUGGAGCAGGUGGAAGGCCAGGCUGAAGCUAGCAGGCUGUGGAAGCCCAGGCUGAAGCUAGCAGAGGUCCAGGCUGGAGAAGGUGGAAGGCCAGGCUGAAGCUAGCAGGCUGUGGAAGCCCAGGCUGAAGCUAGCAGAGGUCCAGGCUGGAGAAGGUGGAAGGCCAGGCUGAAGCUAGCAGGCUGUGGAAGGCCAGGCUGAAGCUAGCAGGCUGUGGAAGCCCAGGCUGAAGCUAGCAGGCUGUGGAAGCCCAGGCUGAAGCUAGCAGGCUGUGGAAGCCCAGGCUGAAGCUAGCAGGCUGUGGAAGCCCAGGCUGAAGCUAGCAAAAGUCCAGGCUGUAGCAGGAGGAAUGCCGGUAGAUUUUAAAGUCCAUAAAAGCAGUCGGGAAAGCUCCUUUUGGAUGUGAAAGUAAAGCUUCCUUGGACAACUGUUUAGCUUAAAACUGACUAAAAACACACUAAAACAGAUGUGAAUUCAGAGCACACUGACAAGCAGACAAACAAAGGACAGUGCUGGCGGCCAUCUUCUCCACUUAAUGCAGCCCGUGCACACCAGCUUACCUACAACUCUGCUCAAGCGCUGUAUAACUACCCAAUGCAAUACACAUACUAACUGGAUGCUGAUUCUGAACAAAGCUCUGUUACGGUUGGCUACUUAUGUCUGUUACAUCUAAAACUCUGGACGUUUGAAUCUGUGUUUUUGAGAAAGUUAUCAGAAUACUGCAGUUUCAAGGUGGAAAUAUUCAGUCAUGGCAUUGGCUGCUUAUUUCAUACAUGAUAUGUCUGGCAUUUUAAAAAAUGCUACAUAGACUUUUUGUCAUUAGAAAAGGUCUAAAAAUGCUUUGAUCCCCAGAACAUUUUAAAAUAAAGCUAUGAGGCUUUGACUAGACUGCAUGAGUUUGUGCUGAUUGUUG